GUACUCACUUCAGCAGCACAUAUACUAAAAUUGGGACACCAGAGAAAAGAUUAGCAUGACCCCUUUGCAAGGAUGACAUGCAAAUUCAUGAAGCAUUUCGUAUUUUU
rnacentral:snRNA from 1 species